rnacentral:rRNA from 1 species
UGAGACACGGCCCAGACUCCUACGGGAGGCAGCAGUAGGGAAUCUUGGACAAUGGGGGCAACCCUGAUCCAGCCAUGCCGCGUGAGUGAAGAAGGCCCUAGGGUCGUAAAGCUCUUUCGCCUGUGAUGAUAAUGACAGUAGCAGGUAAAGAAACCCCGGCUAACUCCGUGCCAGCAGCCGCGGUAAUACGGAGGGGGUUAGCGUUGUUCGGAAUUACUGGGCGUAAAGCGCACGUAGGCGGAUUAGUCAGUCAGAGGUGAAAUCCCAGGGCUCAACCCUGGAACUGCCCUCAAAACUCCUGGUCUUGAGUUCGAGAGAGGUGAGUGGAAUUCCGAGUGUAGAGGUGAAAUUCGUAGAUAUUUGGAGGAACACCAGUGGCGAAGGC